GUAGGGGUGCAAGCGUUGUCCGGAUUUAUUGGGCGUAAAGAGCGUGUAGGCGGCCAGACAGGUCUGCUGUGAAAACUCGAGGCUCAACCUCGAGAUGUCGGCGGAAACCGUCUGGCUAGAGUCCGGAAGAGGAGAGUGGAAUUCCUGGUGUAGCGGUGAAAUGCGCAGAUAUCAGGAAGAACACCUAUGGCGAAGGCAGCUCUCUGGGACGGUACUGACGCUGAGACGCGAAAGCGUGGGGAGCGAACAGGAUUAGAUACCCUGGUAGUCCACGCCGUAAACGAUGGGUGCUAGGUGUGGGCGGUGUCGACUCCGUCCGUGCCGAAGCUAACGCAUUAAGCACCCCGCCUGGGGAGUACGGCCGCAAGGCUA
rnacentral:rRNA from 1 species